UGCUAACCGCCGCGGUUAUACGGAGGGGGUUUGCGUUGUUCGGAAUUACUGGGCGUUAAGCGCACGUAGGCGGGUUAGAAAGUUAGAGGUGAAAUCCCGGGACUCAACCCCGGAACUGCCUUUAAAACUACUAGUCUAGAGUUCGAGAGAGGUGAGUGGAAUUCCGAGUGUAGAGGUGAAAUUCGUAGAUAUUCGGAGGAACACCAGUGGCGAAGGCGGCUCACUGGCUCGAUACUGACGCUGAGGUGCGAAAGUGUGGGGAGCAAACAGGAUUAGAUA
rnacentral:rRNA from 1 species